GCAUCAGUGGUCUAGUGGUAGAAUAGUACCCUGCCAUGGUACGAACCCAGGUUCGAUUCCCGGCUGGUGCA
rnacentral:tRNA from 11 species